rnacentral:rRNA from 1 species
UACGGAGGAUGCGAGCGUUAUCCGGAUUUAUUGGGUUUAAAGGGUGCGUAGGCGGGAUGCCAAGUCAGCGGUAAAAAUGCGGUGCUCAACGCCGUCGAGCCGUUGAAACUGGCGUUCUUGAGUGGGCGAAAAGUAUGCGGAAUGCGUGGUGUAGCGGUGAAAUGCAUAGAUAUCACGCAGAACUCCGAUUGCGAAGGCAGCAUACCGGCGCCCUACUGGCGCUGAGGCACGAAAGCGUGGGUAUCGAACAGG